rnacentral:rRNA from 1 species
GACGAACCGUGCGAACGUUGUUCGGAAUCACUGGGCUUAAAGGGCGCGUAGGCGGGUCAUCAAGUCCGGGGUGAAAUCUUUCGGCUCAACCGGAAAAGUGCCUUGGAUACUGGUGGUCUUGAGUGAGGUAGGGGCAUGUGGAACUUCCGGUGGAGCGGUGAAAUGCGUUGAUAUCGGAAGGAACUCCGGUGGCGAAAGCGACGUGCUGGACCUCUUCUGACGCUGAGGCGCGAAAGCUAGGGGAGCGAACGGG